UACGAAGGGGGCUAGCGUUGUUCGGAAUUACUGGGCGUAAAGCGCGUGUAGGCGGGUCUUUAAGUCAGGGGUGAAAUGCCAGGGCUCAACCUUGGAACUGCGCUUGAUACUGGCGCGCUUGAAUCCAGGAGAGGUUGGUGGAAUUCCCAGUGUAGAGGUGAAAUUCGUAGAGAUUGGGAAGAACACCGGUGGCGAAGGCGGCCAACUGGACUGGUAUUGACGCUGAGGCGCGAAAGCGUGGGGAGCAAACAGG
rnacentral:rRNA from 1 species